rnacentral:rRNA from 1 species
GGACCAAGGAGUCUAGCAUGUGCGCGAGUCAUUGGGACUAGCGAAACCUAAAGGCGUAAUGAAAGUGAAGGCUCGCCUCGCGCGUGCCGAGGGAGGAUGGGUCGUAUCACGAUACGGCCCCGCACUCCCGGGGCGUCUCGUUCUCAUUACGAGAAGAGGCGCACCCAGAGCGUACACGCUGGGACCCGAAAGAUGGUGAACUAUGCCUGGUCAGGACGAAGUCAGGGGAAACCCUGAUGGAGGUCCGUAGCGAUUCUGACGUGCAAAUCGAUCGUCGGAACUGGGUAUAGGGGCGAAAGACUAAUCGAACCAUCUAGUAGCUGGUUCCCUCCGAAGUUUCCCUCAGGAUAGCUGGCGCUCGCUUUGCGAGUCUCAUCCGGUAAAGCGAAUGAUUAGAGGCAUUGGGGUCGAAACGGCCUCAACCUAUUCUCAAACUUUAAAUGGGUGAGAUCUCCGGCUUGCUCGAACUUGAAGCCGCGAGAUUUCGGAUCAGAGUGCCAAGUGGGCCACUUUUGGUAAGCAGAACUGGCGCUGUGGGAUGAACCAAACGCCGAGUUAAAGCGCCUAAAUCGACGCUUAUGGGAUACCAUGAAAGGCGUU